rnacentral:misc_RNA from 1 species
AACAACGACUGGCUUAGGUAUGUCGCACCAUCGCGGCGAAUCAGUCGUAAUACUUCCCCUCGGAGUGUACGCGUGAAACAUUGCCGGCCGAAUGAAACUGUAAUCUACUCCGUCCGCAUCCCUUGUCGUCGCCGUGCGCACGAGUCCCCAGGUAGACGCGAGUUACGCGCGCGUCUGCCUCGAAUAAAGAGAAUCAACCGCACCGGUCGUAAUAACGGCGGCGAUGACGAAACGAAGAGACAAGCACGACAUUCACCCCUUGAGGUUCAAAGCGCGCCGAUAUCAUCGGGGGUGUUUCCGAACACUGAGCUUCUGCCGUUCGGUUCGUUCGCGCGACGCCCACCUCGCGUAGGUAUAUCAACCUCGCAGGUACGCACACAGACGUCCCCCGUUCCGUUGUGCGGAGGUGGACUUGGUCGGUGGUGGUACUCGCGGUGGUUGUCGUGGCGGUGGUGGAGGAGGAGGUGGAGGCGGGGGCGGGGGCGGUAAAAACGCUCCCGAUCUGCCUCGACGUUAUAUGUUCAUUUCACCUUUUGUUACCUUUCUUCGUCAUUUAUUUUCUCUCUCGCGAACCACCCUCGGUAUUCACCCCGGUGUGAUCGGGCGAUGGGAUCGGGUAUGGCGUACGUACAGGUGGGCGAACAUUCCCGCGAUGUGACUCG